AAACCAAUCACAGUAAAGAAUCAUUGUGCGCGCACUGUGCUCGUCCGCUCCGUCUGUUGAACGCGCGCGUUUACGCGUUAUCGACCUUGAUCAAGUUUGCCGGGCAGUUUAGCAUCCUCUUAAAGGGUCAAAACACAAAAGAUGCACGAAAGUGCGAUCAAAAGCAAUAGCAUCGUCGUCGCGGAUGCAUCGGUAGCAUCUGUGCCGCGUGAAAUUAGCCGCGCGAUCGUCAACUCGCUGCUCGACUCGUCGACUCGUCGGUUGGGCCGAUCCACUUCGUCACUUAGCACUUUGCGUAUGCGUCGUAGCGUUAUGUAUUCUCCGUACUGUGUGUAUUUCUCGAGCUCGUAUCGAAUUUAUUCGCGCUGCUUGCACUCAGCAUCGUGCCUUUGUCUCUCUGCAACGCUCGAAUACACAUUUAUCUCGUUUCGAGUGCGAAAAUUAUUGGAAAAUUGUCGAGCGACGCGAGCGGACUAGUCCAUUAUUCGUCCAUCGAAAGGCAAUGCCUGUACGGUGCGCGUCGCGUACGAUUUACGUAUUGGGAGUGUUAUUUGGCCGGGAGUGUCGUGUGUUGUGUUUUCAUGAUCAGUAUGAUCGUAAUGAACGUGUCCUCGCGCGAGUGAACGAACAUAACCUCGGGAGUGCCGCUCUGGACACCGCGCGAUCGUCAUAUUCCAUCGAUCGAUCAGCGAUAUCAGCGGUAAUCAGUCGAUUGUCGUCCGCGCGAAUGAGUGCUACAUGGAUAAACAACGAAUAAGAGAGGAAGACAAGGCCCUAGGAGGCAUCGGGUGACAGCCGAGCAACCGUGAGAUUAUUUAAGUGAUUGUGUGUCACGACACCCCGCUGCUGAGCAUCGUAUUUCUGACUUCUUCAAUACGAGCGCAAUUAUAUAAAUACGAGCCUGAACGUGGCGUUCGAAGGCCGAAGUAACCAAAUGAGCGGCUGGCAUGGCUUUUGACAGAACAGAAUCGGAAAGGGAGCCGUUCCGUACGCCAAAACACCCGUUUCCGUCAGCAGCAACUUUCAUUCCGCAAGCUGAUUUCUGCGGUCCCGCGAAAAACGAGCAAGGAAAUUUCGGCGAUUUCAUUUCAUACGAACGCAAGGAUGGUCACGCUUGCUUUCGGCGCCGAGGUACGUGCGCGGGGUCGCGUCGCGUCCGCAUCGGUUGGUAGGUAGGUAGACACAGUCAAGUCGGGUGGAGAACGGUGGGAGGACAGCGUCGUCGACGCGUGCACCACGUAGGAUGAUAGCCAAAAGCGGCGGCGGUUGGCAGGACAGGGGAACGUGUCACGCGAUCCGUGAGUAAUUCGCACGAGCCGAGGCCCACCCGCCUGCCUGCCUGUUUAACAGAGUGUUAUAAUCUAUUUACGUUAACAUUACCAACGUUUAACGUGGUUGCUCUGCAUCCCCGGGGUCAGAGAAAGGGGUUGGUUGCGGCGGAGGUG